rnacentral:rRNA from 1 species
UACGUAGGGGGCAAGCGUUAUCCGGAUUUACUGGGUGUAAAGGGAGCGUAGACGGCACUGCAAGUCCGGAGUGAAAGCCCAAGGCUUAACCAUGGGACUGCUCUGGAAACUGUGGAGCUUGAGUGCUGGAGAGGCAAUCGGAAUUCCGUGUGUAGCGGUGAAAUGCGUAGAUAUACGGAGGAACACCAGUGGCGAAGGCGGAUUGCUGGACAGUAACUGACGCUGAGGCGCGAAAGCGUGGGGAGCAAACAGG